rnacentral:tRNA from 1 species
GCAUUGGUGGUUCAGUGGUAGAAUUCUCACCUUCCAUGUGGGAGACCCUGGAUUGAAGCCCAGCCAGUGCU